CUAGAUUCUCUCCCUAUUAUUCCUACAUUUCUUUCUUCUGCUCCCUUCAAUCAUGAAAGCCACUGUAACAUGGGAAUCUAGCUGUCGAGUUUCAGAUAAGUUGCCACGCUUCAUUUUAGUACAGAAUUUUCUUCUUUUCUUAUAUACGACAGUACCAUUUUCUCAGGCAUCAAUGUGGGGUUCAAUUUCUUGGCUUGACACGUACUCUAAAGUGGGGUACUAAAAUUCUCAACAAUGUAGCAGUCCCAGAGCAUAUAAUCGCAGGCAGAGACUUAUUUGUGCCUGAAAAUAAUGUAUUAUAAUGGACUUUAGGUUUCGAGUGCUUCGCAUUAUUGUUGCAUGUGUUUUACUUUUGAGUUUUGAAUGCAGUUUGCUUUCGUUAACUUUUAAGAAACCUUUCUCCUUGUGAGCAUAGAAGAUGUCACGACGAUGAACUAAAUCUUAUUUUGAUAAUUUUUUCGAUUUGUUGUGUAUCUAAUUGAGUUCGGAUGAAACGUGUAACCUGCAAAAGAUGCCCUAAUGUAAUAUGUAUAAGGAUUCAUGUCGUAAAAUGUUAUGAGCCUUGGAAUUAACUAUGAACGAAAACAUAUAGCAUUUGAUAUUGAACAUGAAAUGUUUCUUGAAAAACACGACUAUAAAGAAGAUCUAAAUGGAAUUACUUUCUUGAAUAAAUUGAUUAAAAUUUGCUAAUGUUUACUUAAUGGCUUUUAAUUGGUAUUUGUAUUGCUCAGACUCUUCAAAAAUGAAGAAGUAUUUGUGCCGACAGGACAUGACAUUGGAUACGGAUUGGCUCCAUCAUUUUACAUUCGGACACGACAGCAAGAGGAAGAAGAUAGUGGAAGGUGUCUUGCUUCUCUGGCUUUUGUCUAGCAAGAGAGAGAAAGUUGGGGAAGACAGUGAAUUAAGAAAGACAAUGAGUUUUAGAGGGAUUAAAUGAUCUCUUCAGAAGUCCAAUGAAUUGAGUUAAUAAGAGUGUGUUAAAUGGACUCUUGUGAAGUCCAAUUGAUAUAGUUAAUGAGUUAAUUUUUGUAUUUAAUUU
rnacentral:lncRNA from 1 species